rnacentral:rRNA from 1 species
AGGAAUAUUGGUCAAUGGGCGCGAGCCUGAACCAGCCAAGUAGCGUGAAGGAUGAAGGUCCUACGGAUUGUAAACUUCUUUUAUAAGGGAAUAAAGUCACCCACGUGUGGGUGUUUGUAUGUACCUUAUGAAUAAGCAUCGGCUAACUCCGUGCCAGCAGCCGCGGUAAUACGGAGGAUGCGAGCGUUAUCCGGAUUUAUUGGGUUUAAAGGGAGCGUAGACGGGCCGUUAAGUCAGCUGUGAAAGUUUGGGGCUCAACCUUAAAAUUGCAGUUGAUACUGGCGUCCUUGAGUACGGUUGAGGCAGGCGGAAUUCGUGGUGUAGCGGUGAAAUGCUUAGAUAUCACGAAGAACCCCGAUUGCGAAGGCAGCCUGCUAAACCGCCACUGACGUUGAGGCUCGAAAGUGUGGGUAUCAAACAGGAUUAGAUACCCUGGUAGUCCACACGGUAAACGAUGGAUACUCGCUGUUGGCGAUAGACUGUCAGCGGCUUAGCGAAAGCGUUAAGUAUCCCACCUGGGGAGUACGCCGGCAACGGUGAAACUCAAAGGAAUUGACGGGGGCCCGCACAAGCGGAGGAACAUGUGGUUUAAUUCGAUGAUACGCGAGGAACCUUACCCGGGCUUGAAUUGCAGACGAAUUGCUUGGAAACAGGCAAGCCGCAAGGCGUCUGUGAAGGUGCUGCAUGGUUGUCGUCAGCUCGUGCCGUGAGGUGUCGGCUUAAGUGCCAUAACGAGCGCAACCCUCGUGUCCAGUUACUAGCAGGUUAUGCUGAGGACUCUGGACAGACUGCCAUCGUAAGAUGUGAGGAAGGUGGGGAUGACGUCAAAUCAGCACGGCCCUUACGUCCGGGGCUACACACGUGUUACAAUGGGGGGUACAGCAGGCAGCUACCGGGCGACCGGAUGCCAAUCCCGAAAGCCUCUCUCAGUUCGGACUGGAGUUUGCAACCCGACUCCACGAAGCUGGAUUCGCUAGUAAUCGCGCAUCAGCCACGGCGCGGUGAAUACGUUCCCG